GUGUGACAUCAGCGGUCAUGGAGAGUCUCCAUCCAGCUGGAUCACUGUCACAGGAAAACCUACAACCACAGUGAUGCCCAUCACCUCGGGCCCACACCCUGAUCUCCCCUCCCUCCAGCUUGUGUUCAGAGUGGUCCUCACCCUUGUGGUGUUCUCUCCAUACUUCAUUUCCACUCUCCUCAUGGUGUCUUUAUAUCUACACAGAGCCAGAGACAGUCUCCUCUUCAAUUAUGUCCUGAUCUGUUUCGGAAACACAAUCUCCUCUACAUGUGUGAAAAUCUCAUACUUCCUGUCACCUUUACACAUUCAACUAAACCUUCUUCUUUCUUCCACUGGACGUAUAAUAUUCACAUAAACCUUAAUGACACCACAUCUGUGUGUUUCUGAAGGAAACAAACUGAAGGAGGACGUGCUCUCUCUGACAUUUUAUGUUGUUAAAGCAUCAUCUGGUCCAGCUGCUCUCCACUAGACUGCUUCAAGAACCAGUUUCAACAACAUGG